rnacentral:rRNA from 1 species
UUAUUUUAGCGGCGGACGGGUGAGUAACGUGUGGGUAACCUGCCUUUUACUGUGGAAUAAUCGUUGGAAACGACGACUAAUACCGCAUACGGUUCUUGGAAGGCAUCUUCUAAGAAAGAAAGGAGUAAUUCGGUAAAAGAUGGGCCCGCAUCUGAUUAGCUAGUUGGUGAGAUAAUAGCCCACCAAGGCAACGAUCAGUAGCCGACCUGAGAGGGUGACCGGCCACAUUGGGACUGAGACACGGCCCAAACUCCUACGGGAGGCAGCAG